rnacentral:snoRNA from 1 species
CCAACGUGGAUACCCGCGGCGAAGUCACUCUCGCCUAGGCUCUUCGUCUAAAUGGCAUAGGGAGCAUGAUGGUCUCAUCCCAGCAUGUUACCAGUCCUUGCACACCAGUUAGAGAUGAAGCUGGGCCCUGUAUAUUGCCACCUUGAAGUAUUCCUACAGCUUCUGAGUCACUGUGGACAAUGACAGAGGCAGACAAACCCACGCAAGA